GGAAGCUUCGUAUCUGAUUUGUUUAAUUUGUUUUUCUUUAUUUGUUGUUGGCAGUCAGCAGCAUGCGGCCGAAUCGGUUCGUCUUCGAUGCAACCGAGCGCAACGAUGGAAAAUCAAGUGCAAGCCAUGUAACGACGUGAGUCCAGAGGAUAUUUGUCCCAGGUAUAGUGCUUGCCUUCAGUGCCAUUCGGAUGGAGGCAAUGAAUGUGCAACAUGCCCGGAUGGAAAAUUUGGAAGAUGGUGUGAGAAUGCUUGCAAGUGCAUCAAUGGGGGAACAUGCGAGCGAGAUGGAAAGUGCACCUGUCCAGAUGGAUAUCACGGCAGAAACUGCGAGAAGAAAAGAGGUUGUUCGCCUCCUCCACCUGUUGAACCGCCCUUGGAAGUACAAUUGUCUCCCCCAGAUUCUCCAAUGACUGCUGUGUACAGAUGUGGUCCAGAAUACGUGCUCAAAGGCCCAGCGGUCAGUACUUGCCUGUCCAAUCAGAGGUGGUCCAGCAGCGCUCCGG